AGUGAACGCUGGCGGUAGGCCUAACACAUGCAAGUCGAACGGCAGCACAGUAAGAGCUUGCUCUUACGGGUGGCGAGUGGCGGACGGGUGAGGAAUACAUCGGAGUCUACUUUUUCGUGGGGGAUAACGUAGGGAAACUUACGCUAAUACAGCAUACGACCUACGGGUGAAAGCAGGGGAUCUUCGGACCUUGCGCGAUUGAAUGAGCCGAUGUCGGAUUAGCUAGUUGGCGGGGUAAAGGCCCACCAAGGCGACGAUCCGUAGCUGGUCUGAGAGGAUGAUCAGCCACACUGGAACUGAGACACGGUCCAGACUCCUACGGGAGGCAGCAGUGGGGAAUAUUGGACAAAGGGCGCAAGCCUGAUCCAGCCAUACCGCGUGGGUGAAGAAGGCCUUCGGGUUGUAAAGCCCUUUUGUUGGGAAAGAAAAGCAGCAGGUUAAUACCCCGCUGUUCUGACGGUACCCAAAGAAUAAGCACCGGCUAACUUCGUG
rnacentral:rRNA from 1 species